rnacentral:rRNA from 1 species
UACGGGGGGGGCAAGCGUUGUUCGGAAUUACUGGGCGUAAAGGGCUCGUAGGCGGCCAACUAAGUCGGAUGUGAAAUCCCCAGGCUUAACCUGGGAACUGCAUCCGAUACUGGAUGGCUUGAAUUCGGGAGAGGGAUGCAGAAUUCCAGGUGUAGCAGUGAAAUGCGUAGAGAUGUGGAGGAACACCGAUGGCGAAGGCAGCCUCCUGGGCCAGCACUGACGCUCAUGCACGAAAGCGUGGGGAGCAAACAGG